rnacentral:siRNA from 1 species
CUUUUGACGAUUAGGGUUUCGCU